rnacentral:rRNA from 1 species
UACGUAGGGUGCGAGCGUUAAUCGGAAUUACUGGGCGUAAAGUGUGCGCAGGCGGCCGCGCAAGUCGAGUGUGAAAUCCCCGAGCUUAACUUGGGAAUUGCGCUCGAAACUACGUGGCUGGAGUGUGGCAGAGGAAGGUGGAAUUCCACGUGUAGCGGUGAAAUGCGUAGAGAUGUGGAGGAACACCGAUGGCGAAGGCAGCCUUCUGGGCCAACACUGACGCUCAUGCACGAAAGACGUGGGGAGCAAACAGG